CUUAAUUAAUAACUGGUUGUACUACAGCUGUGAAUUCCAGAGAGCACAGGGUCUACUACGCAAAUAGUUUCAAGGCUCAGGACUGGACCGCUGGUUGUUUUUAAGUAAACUGAGGGGUUCAUAUGAAAAAGUACGCCUGCGAAGGGGUACGCGCCGAUAACAGCCAUCCGAUCAAUAACAGAGCGCUAGGAUUAGAUUUAUUUUAAAACGAACCGGUAUAUGAUCCGGGCAACCCCAUCACACGAUCCACGACCCUGAUAUCACGGCGCCAAGAUCUGCCUCUGGCCGUCUGAUCCUAUACCUACGACUAAGAUCUUAUUAGGUGAAGGGGUAUGUCUCGCUUUAAUCCUGGUCGUACGUCCAAGAUCCAAUGGUCCCGCAUCCUCCUUCUUCCCCCCAACGUCGGCCGAUGGCAUGUCUAGCAUAGCCGGCGGGGCCAUUGCCGCCCACGACCAUCCAUUGGCCCGGCACCCAGACUCCAUCGUCGACCAUUCCUACACACAGUUGAGAUCAACGUGAGUAUACCAGAGAGGAUUCUUACCGGCAGUGGCGGCAGAAACAGGCUCCCUACGGCGUUGGGCGGAUCUGGGAUGCCAAAAUUGCUCCGGCGAGCAAUUCCCACGGUUCCAGUGAACCCCCGUGCUCAGAAAUACCCCGCGCACACGCGUCAGGGGCCAUUGGCUUAUCUCCACGCCAUAGCGCAAGCUUUUCGUGGUUGUGGGCCGAACUGGCAUGCGACGACACUCAGCUCUCGCUUCGCCUCUUGGAGUGAGCUCCCAGCAAUGGCAGCCCCUGGUGUUCCAUUUUCUAGGUGCGAUGGAUCGGUCGUGGGGUACGAGAGGAGUGCGGCACAAGGUUUUAUAGCCCGAGGUGGUAGGGAUUUCGGGCGCGGUUUGUUGGAUCGCCGGGAGGGGAACGAGCUACGGUAGACUCGGAAGAUCCCAACGGACCGGUCUAGAAGAAAGAGC
rnacentral:lncRNA from 1 species